rnacentral:rRNA from 1 species
GGAAUCUUCCGCAAUGGGCGAAAGCCUGACGCAGCGACGCCGCGUGGGGGAAGAAGGCCUUCGGGUUGUAAACCUCUUUCAGCAGGGACGAAGCCACUCGGGUUAAUAGCCCAGAGAGUGACGGUACCUGCAGAAGAAGCCCCGGCUAACUACGUGCCAGCAGCCGCGGUAAUACGUAGGGGGCAAGCGUUGUCCGGAUUUAUUGGGCGUAAAGAGCGUGUAGGCGGCCAGAUAGGUCGGUUGUGAAAACUGGAGGCUUAACCUUCAGACGUCGACCGAAACCAUCUGGCUAGAGUCCGGAAGAGGAGAAUGGAAUUCCUUGUGUAGCGGUGAAAUGCGCAGAUAUCAGGAAGAACACCCGUGGCUAAGGCGGUUCUCUAGUACGGUACUGACGCUGAGACGCGAAAGCGUGGGGAGCGAACAG